CGACCCUAUCGAAAUUUAACAUUUAUUGUAUAUCGAUUACAAAAUCGAGGAGGAUUCUUACACUCGAUAGAGUAAUCUCUUAUGGGACCAAUUUCACAAUUAUAGAAUUUGUUUUAUUAAAAAAGUGUCUGUUAUUUCUUUUUUUCGUAUUGUUGUAAAUUUCAAUCUUGACAAAGUGAGAAUACACGUAAGUACUACUUUGGCGGUGACCUACAUAGAUCGACAACGUGAUCGAUGGUCGAUUUACUAGUCGAUCGAUGGUACUAUUUUCAAACGAAUUCUCGAAGUAAGAGAAAGUUUAAACGAAUAGAAGAUAAACAAUUGUUGCGAAAAGGCAGUAAGUAUUUCAGUAUUCCGAAAUAAUACUAAUUUAUAUUUUAUUAUUUCAAAGUAUAUUUCGAUCAAAGAUUGUUUUUUUGUAGUGAUAUAAUGGCUAUAAGGUUAGUGAUAUAAUGGUGAUAAAGGUUAACUUGGUUUAAGGUCAAUAUCGAAAUACUUGGCGAUCAGUUGAAACAUUUCAGGCGGUACCAUUAUCUUAUUAUUGAAAACAUAGUGAGUAGUUGUUAAUGUAUUACAGCAUCAUCCAGUUUCUAUAUAAAAACAACGUGAAAUAGAUAGCAAAUGUAACGCAAGAAGAAGAGCACAAUGUCAUGAGAAAAGUCAACGUCCGAGACGCGGUCAGUGCUAUUGUACUCGACUGUACAGUACAUCAAGCAGAGCAUUUUUAAUGAAUCCACUGAAUUUCAAUUUUGAUGCUCAACAAUACUUACUUUCUCAUCUCGCGAAAGGAAUUCCCACAUUGGUAUCGCGGAAGCAGUGGCACAUAAUGCACACUCUUUUUACACGUACCGUUAGUUUAGAUACGUAGGUCUAUCGCACAGAUAUUAUUGAUGUAAAAUCAGUGGUCGUCGAGCCAAGAGUGUUUGUAUUACAAACACCAAACUGACGACGAGAAUAUAAUUACAAGGAUUGAAUAUCAAUUGAAUAUUUCAUUUAUUGAUAAAUGAAAUAUUAAUAACACGAUUAUCGCUAGAAACUUCACGUGGCCACAAAUGAACGAAGAUGCACAGUUGGAAACAAGUAAUACAACCGUACAGGAGAGGAAGCUGGUUCGAAAUCUGCCUUGAAAGAAUCCAAUCUUGUUCAUCCGGUUCUCUUGGCUACUUUGAGCUAACAAGUCCUUAGAAAAUCCUGUCCUUCAGAGAACCACGUCCUUCGCGAAAUAUUUGCCAAGAUGUUUGAAAGAAGAAAAAUAAUUGUGAUCGUAGGAUGGAACAAUGCGUUGCGCAGCCGCAACUUUCGGUAUUAAUGGGUUAAUGAUAAUGGUAGAAAAACAAUAACGCAUUGCAAGCCGGAACAGAGGCGACGGCACUUUUCUAUGACGAUGACCAACGUGAGAAUUGAAAUGCCGCAGACUUUCGCACAUGAAUUCGCGUCAGCACAGGCAUAUACACAAUGGAAUGAGGAACCUUGUAUCAUUCGCUGUACGUCCACGAUGUAUACGUGUGUCUGUUACCACACCGUUCCAGGACUCACGAUGGUUUCACUUUACCGUGAUUUUCUUGAAAUAGAAUGACAGAAAAGUCGAACAUGGUGAUUCGACGGGCAAGUAUGUUCUACUUUCCAAAUCAAUUAAUCGUCCGUAACCUGGAAUGGCUGGAUGCUCACGGGCGUUAACCUUCUGCACCUCUGAUUUAUAAGUUUCCAUUAUACAUUUCACGGAUCAGCUGAGCAGAAAUUACACUAACCAGGCCAAGGGUAUUCCUGAUAAGUCUUGAUUGAUCUUUAAUCGAUGACAAACUACUGAUAGCAUUCAUCGAUUGUAAACGUUUUCAUUGAUUUUCUUUUUCUAGCAUUAUCAUACGAAUAACAAAAAUACUGCUGGUGUGUAAAGAUUCUUUAUAUUUUGUCUCCGUUAAAACGUAGAAUACUAUUUUUAUAGUUUAUCCAACAAUAAAAUUGUGCAGUCAAGCCGAGCAUCGUUUUUCUUCGUUGGUGAACCAUGAAACAGUAAACAGUUCCCACAAACGCAUCUUGCAUUCUGAUUUCAAACGUUGAAUCGUAAUGGGUUCUGCUCGAUCAAAUGAAUUUGUCAUUCAAAUUGUUUGAAUUAAUUUUGUUGUAUCUUUUUAGAUAUAUUGAUCUAUUUAUGGAAGAACGGUAAACGAUCCGGCGCGAGGAUUUUAGAAUUGCAUCCGAAUGGAAUGUAGGACGAUCAUGAUCAGGAAAUGGACUUGUAUAGCGCAAAAGGGAAUGGAAAUCGCUUCCUCUUUUCAUCGCAACGAUUGGACGGUCAUCCGAGAUCGAGAGGUGUGGAAUACGUUCCGGUCGACGCAAUAACCACCGGAUGCUCAUCGUUUCCCUGACAAACAAAUUCUGAUGACUGAAAAUUUUUUAAAAUAUAUUUUAAACAAGGAAUCUUCAAUUUUAGAGUAGCUCGCACAGAUGUAAUCUUAUCUGUGACGAUUCUUCGAAUUCCCGAAAUUUUGGAAUCUCCAAAAAUGUAUUGAUCGUCAUCAUGAUGCCACGUUAUGACUCAUUUUGCUUGCAGGCAACGAAAUCGGAAGCUGAUCGUAUAAGUAGUUCAAUGGUGACAUUUUUGCCCGUUAUUAUGGUUUCCUUGAAAUCCAUCUACGUAACUGCAUACUCAAGUGGAUCCUUAAUUUUUGAAAUACUUUAUAAUAGAGAUCAUCAAACAUAUUGGAACUAUUAUAAUGGCUUCGUCAUUGAUUCAAAACAAAUUGAAGGAUGUUGUAUUAUAUUUGAAUAUCUUUCCUCGUUUCUGUGCAUUUAAAACGCGACUGAUAAAUGAAACAAGAUGGAAUGUUUACCUCUCGAAUAAUUCAUAGAGAGGAGUUAUAAUAAUGCACGAUGCAACAAAAUGAAAUUUAUCAGAUGUCACAUAAACAGGAAAAAAUUUCAUAUAAAUGUAUUUUGAUUAUCAUCCAGAUUAUGCAUGCGGUAUUAAAUGAGUUACGGUUUGUUAUUGGUAACGAACAGUGUCAGCGAACAAGAUAAUUAUGCGUAAAAUUUUUGGCGCCCGGAAUGACGUGAGAAUCGUGGCGCCGCUUAAGAAUGCAGAACCUAUCGGUAUACGGAACAUUGUUAAGGAUUGAUUAACGAGUAUCUUGGAACGACUGAAAAAUUCCCGAGGAUCGGCAUGACGUUUUGAAUUCCUUGUUCGGCCUUUGAAGGUUGUCGAAGAAUAUCCGUAAAAUAAAUUAUCGUGAAAUCAAGUCACCAAGUUAUAACAGCAAAGAUUUAUCUGUCGUUUCGCGUACGAAACGAAUCCGUAUUUCUUUCUUUUUUCCUUCUUCUUUGUUAGCGUAACGUGUGAAAAAAAAAAA